rnacentral:lncRNA from 1 species
GCCCGCUGCUGCAGCCAGAGGCCGCGCGGGCUCUUCUCCCGGGUCCCGUGGGCCCAAGCCAGGCGUCCAUGGAGCCCCGGCCCGGCGGGGCUGCGGGGCGGCACCGCGGCUCCCCGGGCAGCAGCCGGCCCUCCGCCCCCUGCCCUCGGGAGCCCUUGGCCAGCGGCUGCUGGCCGCGCCUCAGGGCUGUGCGGCCGGGGGAGGCCGGGGCUGGGCGCAGGCAGCGCCCGGCCCAGGGGCUGAGCCCGCACCAACCCUUCCCUCCUGCCGCUCUCUGCAGCUGGCACACGACAGGAGCCGAGCGGCCGGGCCCUGCGCUACCUGCGGAGCCCACAGGAGCGCCUGCGAGAGGCGGCCGUCAGAUUCAUGGGUGAGCCCCGAGCCCGGGCUGCCCUUCCCCGCCCCGGCCCGGCCCGCCGCAGCUCGGCCCGAGCCCCGCCUGCUGCCCGGCAGCGCCAGCAGCCCCCGGCGCCGUGGAGCCCCGCCUGGCCUGGCCAUUGCUGCUGCCGCCCUCUGGCAGCCGUGCCCUGGGGCGGCAGCGUGCGGCAAGGGCCGGGCUGAGCCCUGCCGGGCCAGCAGCCCGUGCGGCCACAGCGCCGGCAGCGCCGCUGGCAGGGAGCUGUGCCGCUGGGGCCGUGACAGGCUCUGUGUUCACAGGCAUCGCCGGGCGGCACCUGAGGGGGCAGCAGCAGGAGCUGCAGCUGAUCUGCACUGCUCUCGAACCCCUGACGGAGUACAUGAGCAGUGCCAUGUCAGAGCUGGCAAUUCAAACACUGCAUGUCCUCCGAGCAACAGCGAGUGGGCGAUGCUACAUCUUCCAGAGGCUGCACGAUUGGCUACGCAGGGCAUGGAUCGCUCGGCCUCGUCUGUCGCGGCUCGGCUGGCUGCACUGCUGGAGUUCUCAGGAGAGCUGAUCCGGGAGGCUCUCUUUGCUGGGGCAACCUGCGCCAGCAGGGAUAUUCCUUUUCUUUAAGAUUUUUUGUUUCCUUCCCUUGCAUUUUUUUUCCUUUGUAUAGAUAAAUAUAGAAUGUGUUAUAAUAGAGAUAAAUAAGAAAAAUAUAGAAUGUGUUAUAAUAUACA